UUCAAAAAUUUUUAGAGUUUCAUGUAAAUCAGGGCGGGCUUCAGCGUCACCAUUGGGCCACAAGUUCUAGAUUGACAGCUGCUCCUCUAGCCAAUCAGUCCAAGGGGGAGUUGACGUCACUCCAAUGCGACUCGUGGCUGCUGUGGCAGGUGUGUGAAGCUGGAUAAUCAGCGUCAGCAGGCAAAUCCUGGACGAUCUCAGGUAAUCAGCCAUAAAUAUUUUGUUAAUGGGUGACAGAAACAUUCCCUUUGUGUGUUAUGAUAUUUUCUGCAAGCUCUGUGUAGUCCGAUAUGUAGCCCGCUAACACGUGUCUUGUUAGUUUGGUUUAGUG
ensembl:lncRNA